AUCAGUCGGAAGGAGUUCGACAAAUCUCCUCACGGAAAUAAGAUUGACAUUAGAAUAGGUAACGCCAACGAUACGAUGCUGAAUAUGGCGAAGGAAGGACAAACAUUUGACUUCAUCUUCGUGGACGCAGAUAAAGACAACUACGUAACGUAUUACAAUACCAUCAUGGAUCACGGCCUUCUGGCGGCUAACGGGACGAUCGCCUUCGACAACGCUCUUCUUAGUGGCCUUGCAUAUCUUAAUACUGACGUCCCUGUU